rnacentral:rRNA from 1 species
UAACCCGGCCGGGCAGAAACGCGCGCGUGCCCGGUUUUUGAAUCGCGGUUCGAAGGAAGGAUCAAAAAAGUAAGACGGAAGUUAUCCACGGUGCUGGUUUAGGUUUAGGGGGUUUGGAUUUAGGAGAGUGCGUGAGGGAGGCGGCGGCGGGCGAUCGAUCGUCGGGCGUGCGGCGGUUGGUGGGCGGCAGAGGUCGUGCGGCAGUGGACAGAGGAAAUAGGAGGACGUGGGGGUGACGAAUCCGGGGCUUGUGAAGAUUGGGAUCGAGCACGCGACCUCAAGCCCCUCUCCGGUUCCGCGCCACCACCUGCGGCGGUAGGGAGAGUCUAGGCCCCGAUUCUCUCCCUCCCUCCCUCCCUCUCCACCCAGUGGACGCUCUUUCUCGUGAGCGUGGGAGCGAGCAGUCGGCAGUGGGUCCUCGGCGGUGGUGGCGGCGGUGCGGUCCCCGAAGGAGGCUAGACGCGAGUGACCAAACAAACUUCUUCCUAGAUCGGCAACUGACAACCACGAAGGGGAGGGGCCCGCGGUACUGAACCCUAUCAUGAAGAUAGGUCGUUCGUUGCAAAACCUACACUCGAGGUCGAGUUCGUCUCGUAGUUUUUGUCCCCGAGAUAGACGAUUACCCCGUCGGCUGUUACGUCAGAUUCUCGAUGUAGAGUACACUAAAGACCUAUACUCUUGAACUCUUCUUGUUCGAACUACGAUAAUAACUUUUUUUAUUAGAUACGAUGUCCUAAGAAGAAACGUAGGGUAUGUGAAUCUGCCUCACCCUCCGACGGCGUCGCCACGACCUGAGCCUCGGGUUCGGUAGGCGGCGGCGGUUGUUCAACGUGGAGAAGCGCCUUUAGUGGUGUUGACACUACACGACUGUCAGCCUACGGAAGUCUUAACCGAGAAUUUUGAAAGUUGGUUCUAAUCUCGAUCGUAUGUCAAACGUCAAAUAUCAGCAUGAGUAUGAGUUACUCAGGGAUGGAGCCGAAGACCCGUUCUAUAAGAAAUUAAAAUCAACUAAUCGUUGGUGAUAACAAGUCCUUAAAACUCAUCGCGCGUAGAACCAGACCGCUCGGCCACUGGCCUGUAGUAAACAGUUCCUUCGUUUUUCCUGAUGUGAGUGUUCCUUGGUACUUCGGUUGCUUGGUGCAGUUGAUCUACAAAAUCGAAAGUAAAACAUGUUGACUACAGAGUAUGAACGUGGAAAACUGAUAGGAAAACAUUUGGACUACAUACCAAGGAGCCACCAAAACAAAUCUUGUCUAACUUCACAUACAUACACGGUUAAUCAAUUACCUUAUUUUUUACAAACCACGAGGG